rnacentral:rRNA from 1 species
CAAUAGCGUAUAUUUAAGUUGUUGCAGUUAAAAAGCUCGUAGUUGGAUUUCGGGUGGGACGCAGCGGUCUCGCAUUGCGUUUGUACUGCUGCAGCCCUCCUUCUUGCCGGGGGCGGCCUCUCGGACUUCACUGUCUGGGGGUCAGAAUCGGCGAUGUUACUUUGAGUAAAUUAGAGUGUUCAAAGCAAGCUUACGCUCUGAAUAUAAUAGCAUGGGAUAACACAACAGGACUCUGGCCUAUCGUGUUGGUCUAUAGGACCAGAGUAAUGAUUAAGAGGGACAGUCGGGGGCAUUCGUAUUCCAUUGUCAGAGGUGAAAUUCUUGGAUUUACGGAAGACGAACAUCUGCGAAANCANNNGCCAAGGAUGUUUUCAUNGA